GACGAACGCUGGCGGCGCGCUUAACACAUGCAAGUCGAACGAAGAGCGAUGGAAGCUUGCUUCUAUCAAUCUUAGUGGCGAACGGGUGAGUAACGCGUAAUCAACCUGCCCUUCAGAGGGGGACAACAGUUGGAAACGACUGCUAAUACCGCAUACGAUCUAAUCUCGGCAUCGAGGAUAGAUGAAAGGUGGCCUCUACAUGUAAGCUAUCACUGAAGGAGGGGAUUGCGUCUGAUUAGCUAGUUGGAGGGGUAACGGCCCACCAAGGCGAUGAUCAGUAGCCGGUCUGAGAGGAUGAACGGCCACAUUGGGACUGAGACACGGCCCAGACUCCUACGGGAGGCAGCAGUGGGGAAUCUUCCGCAAUGGACGAAAGUCUGACGGAGCAACGCCGCGUGAGUGAUGACGGCCUUCGGGUUGUAAAGCUCUGUUAAUCGGGACGAAAGGCCUUCUUGCGAAUAGUGAGAAGGAUUGACGGUACCGGAAUAGAAAGCCACGGCUAACUACGUG
rnacentral:rRNA from 1 species